rnacentral:rRNA from 1 species
UUUCAUAAUCACAAUUUUAAUCCCCCAUCGACACCGAGUAAUUCUAUAUGACUAUAGAAAAUUUUAUGUUAAAACUAGUAACAAGAAGAAAGCCCUUCUCUUAAAUGUUAGUGUAAAUCAGAAAGGACAUACCACUGAUAUUUAACACCCCCUGAACUUAAAAUAAUAACCAACCAAGAAAACUUUAUUUUUACUAAUGUUAAACUAACACAAGAGCAUUUCAAGAAAGAUUAAAAGAAAAAGAAGGAACUCGGCAAAUAUCAACCCCGCCUGUUUACCAAAAACAUCGCCUCUUGAUCCCUAUAAGAGGUCCAGCCUGCCCAGUGACUUAGUUCAACGGCCGCGGUAUCCUAACCGUGCGAAGGUAGCGUAAUCACUUGUUCUUUAAAUAAGGACUAGUAUGAAUGGCACCACGAAGGUUAUACUGUCUCCUUUUUUUAAUCAGUGAAACUAAUCUCCCCGUGAAGAAGCGAGGAUAAGAUUAUAAGACGAGAAGACCCUAUGGAGCUUCAAACAAUAUAGUAUUUGCCACACAACACCAAAAUCUCCGCAUAAUUAACCUAUUAGGCAAUACUACUAUAAGUUUUUGGUUGGGGUGACCACGGAGCACAAUACAACCUCCACGCUGAAAGAAUCUUUUCUAAGCUAAGGACCACAUUCCUAAACAUCAACAUAUUGACACCAUUGACCCAAUAUAUUUGAACAACGAACCAAGUUACCCUAGGGAUAACAGCGCAAUCCACUUCAAGAGCCCCUAUCGACAAGUGGGUUUACGACCUCGAUGUUGGAUCAGGGCAUCCUAGUG